CAUGCAUGUCUUCGACGUAUAAGAGGAAGCGAUCCAUAAAUCUGCGAACGGCUCCGUAUAUCUGUUAUCACCCCAGGCCACUUAAAAGAUCUCGGAUACCCACGGUAAUUCUGAGGCUAAUACGUAUACGUAACCUGGGCUACCAGGACACGGCGUCCCCCACCGGGGGGGGCGCCGGGGCUAGCCGAUUGAUGCCGGAGGGCCCCGCAAGGGGUCCACUGUCGUGAGUGCAGGCUAGUGCGCCACACCGCCGGGGCAUUAUAUCCCGCGGGGUGCGCUCCGGGUGCCAGCCCUAUUAACUAGAUGUCCGGCCAAGGCCCGGCCACGGUGAUAACGGGUACAGAGGAUUAGGGUUCGAUCCUGGAGAGGAAGCCUGAGAGAUCGCUUCUACUUCUAAGGAAGGCAGCAGGCGCGCAACGUUCCCAAUGGGGAAACCCUGAGGACGUGAGGGGAUAUAGCAAUGCCCCGCCCAUAAAGCGGGGCAAUUGCAAUGGGGGUCCUCUAAACCCUCCACCGAGUAACAAUUGGAG
rnacentral:rRNA from 1 species